GACGAACGCUGGCGGCGUGCUUAACACAUGCAAGUCGAACGGAAAGGCCUGCUUUCCCUUGUGGAUUGCGGGUACUCGAGUGGCGAACGGGUGAGUAACGCGUGAGUGAUCUGCCCCCAACUUGGGUAUAAGCCUGGGAAACUGGGUCUAAUUCCCGAUAGGACUGCAGGGUGGUGCCUGUGGUGGAAAACGAUUUUCUAGUGGUUGGGGAUGAGCUCGCGGCCUAUCAGCUUGUUGGUGGGGUAAUGGCCUACCAAGGCGGCGACGGGUAGCCGGCCUGAGAGGGUGGACGGCCACAUUGGGACUGAGAUACGGCCCAGACUCCUACGGGAGGCAGCAGUGGGGAAUAUUGCACAAUGGGCGGAAGCCUGAUGCAGCGACGCCGCGUGGGGGAUGACGGCCUUCGGGUUGUAAACUCCUUUCGACCGCGAGGAAGCCACCUGGUUGGAAGGGUGGUGACGGUAGUGGUAGAAGAAGCACCGGCUAACUACGUG
rnacentral:rRNA from 1 species